rnacentral:rRNA from 1 species
UACGGAGGGUGCGAGCGUUGUCCGGAAUCACUGGGCGUAAAGGGCGCGUAGGCGGCUCAUGAAGGCUGUGGUGAAAGUCCGGGGCUCAACCUCGGAUCGGCCGUGGCGACUCGUGGGCUGGAGCACUGUAGAGGCGGGUGGAAUUCCGGGUGUAGCGGUGGAAUGCGUAGAGAUCCGGAAGAACACCGGUGGCGAAGGCGGCCCGCUGGGCAGAGACUGACGCUGAGGCGCGACAGCGUGGGGAGCAAACAGG